rnacentral:rRNA from 1 species
GACGAACGCUGGCGGCGUGCCUAAUACAUGCAAGUAGAUCGCUGAAGAGAGGAGCUUGCUCUUCUUGGAUGAGUUGCGAACGGGUGAGUAACGCGUAGGUAACCUGCCUUGUAGCGGGGGAUAACUAUUGGAAACGAUAGCUAAUACCGCAUAACAAUGGAUGACACAUGUCAUUUAUUUGAAAGGGGCAAUUGUUCCACUACAAGAUGGACCUGCGUUGUAUUAGCUAGUAGGUGAGGUAAUGGCUCACCUAGGCGACGAUACAUAGCCGACCUGAGAGGGUGAUCGGCCACACUGGGACUGAGACACGGCCCAGACUCCUACGGGAGGCAGCAGUAGGGAAUCUUCGGCAAUGGGGGCAACCCUGACCGAGCAACGCCGCGUGAGUGAAGAAGGUUUUCGGAUCGUAAAGCUCUGUUGUAAGUCAAGAACGGGUGUGAGAGUGGAAAGUUCACACUGUGACGGUAGCUUACCAGAAAGGGACGGCUAACUACGUGCCAGCAGCCGCGGUAAUACGUAGGUCCCGAGCGUUGUCCGGAUUUAUUGGGCGUAAAGCGAGCGCAGGCGGUUUGAUAAGUCUGAAGUUAAAGGCUGUGGCUCAACCAUAGUUCGCUUUGGAAACUGUCAAACUUGAGUGCAGAAGGGGAGAGUGGAAUUCCAUGUGUAGCGGUGAAAUGCGUAGAUAUAUGGAGGAACACCGGUGGCGAAAGCGGCUCUCUGGUCUGUAACUGACGCUGAGGCUCGAAAGCGUGGGGAGCGAACAGGAUUAGAUACCCUGGUAGUCCACGCCGUAAACGAUGAGUGCUAGGUGUUGGAUCCUUUCCGGGAUUCAGUGCCGCAGCUAACGCAUUAAGCACUCCGCCUGGGGAGUACGACCGCAAGGUUGAAACUCAAAGGAAUUGACGGGGGCCCGCACAAGCGGUGGAGCAUGUGGUUUAAUUCGAAGCAACGCGAAGAACCUUACCAGGUCUUGACAUCCCGAUGCUAUUUCUAGAGAUAGAAAGUUACUUCGGUACAUCGGUGACAGGUGGUGCAUGGUUGUCGUCAGCUCGUGUCGUGAGAUGUUGGGUUAAGUCCCGCAACGAGCGCAACCCCUAUUGUUAGUUGCCAUCAUUCAGUUGGGCACUCUAGCGAGACUGCCGGUAAUAAACCGGAGGAAGGUGGGGAUGACGUCAAAUCAUCAUGCCCCUUAUGACCUGGGCUACACACGUGCUACAAUGGUUGGUACAACGAGUUGCGAGUCGGUGACGGCGAGCUAAUCUCUUAAAGCCAAUCUCAGUUCGGAUUGUAGGCUGCAACUCGCCUACAUGAAGUCGGAAUCGCUAGUAAUCGCGGAUCAGCACGCCGCGGUGAAUACGUUCCCGGGCCU